AUAGCGUAUAUUAAAGUUGUUGCAGUUAAAAAGCUCGUAGUUGAACUUCGAAUCUGGUUGGGUGGUCUGCCUUCACGGUACGUACUGCUCGGCCGGAUUCUACCUCUUGGUGAGCCGGCAUGCUCUUAACUGGGUGUGUUGGGGAACCAGGACUUUUACCUUGAGAAAAUUAGAGUGUUCAAAGCAGGCCUUUGCCCGAAUACAUUAGCAUGGAAUAAUAAAAUAGGACGUGCGGUUCUAUUUUGUUGGUUUCUAGAGUCGCCGUAAUGAUUAAUAGGGAUAGUUGGGGGCAUUGGUAUUGAGUCGCUAGAGGUGAAAUUCUUGGAUUGACUCAAGACCAACUAUUG
rnacentral:rRNA from 1 species